rnacentral:rRNA from 1 species
ACGGGAGGCAGCAGUCGGGAAUAUUGGGCAAUGGAGGAAACUCUGACCCAGCAACGCCGCGUGAAGGAUGAAGGUCCUCGGAUUGUAAACUUCUGUUCUAAGGGACAAAGACAGUGAUGGUACCUUAGAAGAAAGCCCCGGCAAACUACGUGCCAGCAGCCGCGGUGAUACGUAGGGGGCAAGCGUUGUCCGGAAUGACUGGGCGUAAAGGGAGUGUAGGCGGUUUGCCAAGUUAAAUGUGAAAGCCCGGGGCUUAACUCCGGAACUGCAUUUAAAACUGGUAGGCUAGAGUGUGGGAGAGGUAAGUGGAAUUCCUAGUGUAGCAUUGAAAUGCGUAGAUAUUAGGAGGAACAUCGGUGGCGAAGGCGACUUACUGGAACAUAACUGACGCUGAGGCUCGAAAGCGUGGGGAGCAAACAGGAUUAGAUACCCUGGUA